UUGAACUUAACCUGCUCCAUGGAAUCUAAAUAGCCGCGGUAUUUUAACUGUGCUAAGGUAGCAUAAUAAUUUGUCUUUUAAUUAUAGACUGGAAUGAAAGGUUGAACAAAGAGAUUUCUGUCUUAAUUGUUUAUUAAAUUUGCCUUUAAAGUUAAAAAGCUUUUUUAAAAAGGAAGACGACAAGACCCUAUAAAACUUUAUUUUUAAUGUGACUUAUUUUUUAGAAGUUUCAAUAUUUAUGCAAAAAAUUUUACUGGGGCGGUAAGGCCUAAUAUUCAAAUCUUAAAAAAACAUACUUAUGAAAUUUAUAAACUUAAUUUUUUUUAAAAAAAUAAACAAGUUACUUUAGGGAUAACAGCGUAAUAAUUUUUAAGAGUUCAUAUCGUCAAGAUUGAUUACGACCUCGAUGUUGAAUUGAAAAUCUUUUUUAAAGCACCAUUUA
rnacentral:rRNA from 1 species